AUUGAACGCUGGCGGCAUGCCUUACACAUGCAAGUCGAACGGUAACAGGUCUUCGGAUGCUGACGAGUGGCGAACGGGUGAGUAAUACAUCGGAACGUGCCCGAUCGUGGGGGAUAACGGAGCGAAAGCUUUGCUAAUACCGCAUACGAUCUACGGAUGAAAGCAGGGGACCGCAAGGCCUUGCGCGGACGGAGCGGCCGAUGGCAGAUUAGGUAGUUGGUGGGAUAAAAGCUUACCAAGCCGUCGAUCUGUAGCUGGUCUGAGAGGACGACCAGCCACACUGGGACUGAGACACGGCCCAGACUCCUACGGGAGGCAGCAGUGGGGAAUUUUGGACAAUGGGCGAAAGCCUGAGCCAGCCAUGCCGCGUGCAGGAUGAAGGCCUUCGGGUUGUAAACUGCUUUUGUACGGAACGAAAAGACUCCUUCUAAUAAAGGGGGUCCAUGACGGUACCGUAAGAAUAAGCACCGGCUAACUACGUGCCAGCCGCCGCGGUAACAC
rnacentral:rRNA from 1 species